GACGAACGCUGGCGGCGUGCCUAAUACAUGCAAGUAGAACGCACAGUUUAUACCGUAGCUUGCUACACCAUAGACUGUGAGUUGCGAACGGGUGAGUAACGCGUAGGUAACCUGCCUGGUAGCGGGGGAUAACUAUUGGAAACGAUAGCUAAUACCGCAUAAUAUUAAUUAUUGCAUGAUAAUUAAUUGAAAGGUGCAAUUGCACCACUACCAGAUGGACCUGCGUUGUAUUGGCUAGUAGGUGAGGUAACGGCUCACCUAGGCGACGAUACAUAGCCGACCUGAGAGGGUGAUCGGCCACACUGGGACUGAGACACGGCCCAGACUCCUACGGGAGGCAGCAGUAGGGAAUCUUCGGCAAUGGACGAAAGUCUGACCGAGCAACGCCGCGUGAGUGAAGAAGGCUUUCGGAUCGUAAAGCUCGGUUGUAAGAGAAGAACGGGUGUGAGAGUGGAAAGUUCACACUGUGACGGUAUCUUACCAGAAAGGGACGGCUAACUACGUG
rnacentral:rRNA from 1 species